rnacentral:ncRNA from 1 species
ACCUUAUAUAAAUGUAUUAAACGCAAGACAGUUUAGCAUUUCCCUUUAAGGUAGUGUUAGUUAGAAACUUUAACGAUAAGUACUAUUGUGUAGCUUUAAGAGUUGAAAUAGUAUGAGUUAAAGUGGAAUAGGUUAACCGUAAGACCUUAAGUUGAUAAACUUUAAAAUUGAUUUUAUUAGUUUUUAUAACUAAUAAAUUACGGUGAA